rnacentral:tRNA from 1 species
GCUGAAAUAGCUCAACUGGGAGAGCGUUAGACUGAAGAUCUAAAGGUCUCUGGUUUGACUCCGGUUUUCCGCA